GGUUGGAUCAUUAAAGAAUUAUGAUGUGUUGGCGCCGCCUAAAAAACGGCGCCCUCACAUUCAUAUCCACCUCUUUGUGUAACGUUUCCCGUAUUUUGGCGGUCCACAAACCAUGGGCGUCAGACACUUGUGUCUUUCCCUUGGACCGCCAGCCACCAAACAACACCUUACAAUUUUUUGUGACUUUGAAAGCCUUUCUUAGGUUUCUAAAAUUUGAAAACAACUUUUGACAACGGAUCUCUUGGCUCUCGCAACGAUGAAGAACGCAGCGAAUUGCGAUAUGUGAUGUGAAUUGCAGAAUUCAGUGAAUCAUCAAAUCUUUGAACGCACAUUGCGCUCCAUGGUAUUCCGUGGAGCAUGCUUGUUUGAGAACCGUGAUCACCUCUCAAUCCCCAUCUCAUCCGAAAGGGUGUGGAGAAAGGAAUUGGACUUUGAGCGUUCUGUCAUAAUUAAAUGGCAGUUGUCUCCAAAUGUAUCGCCUUUGGUUUCCAACGAAAGUUGGAGUGAAACGAGGUCUAUUCUGUCGCAAAGACGUGAUGAGCAUGAUCUCCUUGUGAGGUUUGUGUUAGCGUCGACAUAAAAGCUUCAGAUGUAAGAUGGCUUCAAAUCCCUCUGUGGCGUUGUGCAUCUCCUCGCGAGGUCACCCUGUUGGUGUGUUGUCAAGGACUUGUCUUUGGUGACCGCUUCAACUUGUAACCCCUGAACAAUGGUCUCAAAUCAAGCAAGAGGACCCGCUGAACUUAAGCAUAUCAAUAAGCGGAGGAAAAGAAACCAACUGGGAUUCCCGUAGUAACGGCGAGUGAAGCGGGAACAGCUCAAAUUUGAAAUCUCACUGUUUCGCAGUGCGAAUUGUAGUUUCAAGAAGCACUUUCGGGAGCGGACUGGGCCCAAGUCCAUUGGAACAUGGUGCCAGAGAGGGUGAGAGCCCCGUUCGGUCCGGUUAUCGCUCCUGUGUGAUGUGUCUUCAAAGAGUCGGAUAGUUUGGGAAUGCUGUCCAAAGUGGGUGGUAAAUAUCAUCCAAGGCUAAAUAUUGGCGAGAGACCGAUAGCGAACAAGUACCGUGAGGGAAAGAUGAAAAGAACUUUGAAAAGAGAGUUAAACAGUACGUGAAAUUGUCAAAAGGGAAGCGCUUGAUACCAGUGUCGCGGCUCUCAAAUCAGUCGCCCGUUGCGGGCGGUGCACUUUGGGGGUUGUGGGUCAGCGUCGAUUUGGUUUGGGGUAAAAUGACGUCGGAAGGUAGUCCCUCGUGGAUGUUAUAGCUGACGUUGCUGCCCUGGACUGGAUCGAGGAACGCAGCCGCGCUAUGAGGUGUCGUUUGGCUCUGUGAUGUCUCUGGCCAAACUGCUUGCAGAUUGUGUUGGGGGUUAAGCUGAAUCCUUUCGUUCAUCAAACACGGCUUCGGACGCUGACAAAAUGGUCUCAAACGACCCGUCUUGAAACACGGACCAAGGAGUCCAACAAACACGCGAGUGUUUGGGUGGCAAACCCGAACGCGAAAUGAAAGUGAAUGCAGGUGGGAUCCUGCGAGGGUGCACCAUCGACCGGUCUGGAUUUUUUUGAAAGAUCUGAGUAAGAGCGUGUUUGCUGGGACCCGAAAGAUGGUGAACUAUGCCUGAGCAGGGUGAAGCCAGAGGAAACUCUGGUGGAAGCUCGUAGGGGUUCUGACGUGCAAAUCGAUCUUAAGACUUGGGUAUAGGGGCGAAAGACUAAUCGAACCAUCUAGUAGCUGGUUCCCUC
rnacentral:misc_RNA from 1 species